AUUGAACGCUGGCGGCAUGCUUUACACAUGCAAGUCGGACGGCAGCACAGAGAAGCUUGCUUCUUGGGUGGCGAGUGGCGAACGGGUGAGUAAUAUAUCGGAACGUACCGAGUAAUGGGGGAUAACUAAUCGAAAGAUUAGCUAAUACCGCAUAUUCUCUGAGGAGGAAAGCAGGGGACCUUCGGGCCUUGCGUUAUUCGAGCGACCGAUAUCUGAUUAGCUAGUUGGUGGGGUAAAGGCCUACCAAGGCGACGAUCAGUAGCGGGUCUGAGAGGAUGAUCCGCCACACUGGGACUGAGACACGGCCCAGACUCCUACGGGAGGCAGCAGUGGGGAAUUUUGGACAAUGGGCGCAAGCCUGAUCCAGCCAUGCCGCGUGUCUGAAGAAGGCCUUCGGGUUGUAAAGGACUUUUGUCAGGGAAGAAAAGGCUGUUGCUAAUACCGACAGCUGAUGACGGUACCUGAAGAAUAAGCACCGGCUAACUACGUG
rnacentral:rRNA from 1 species